rnacentral:rRNA from 1 species
UGUGUAGGUGGUUGUCAUAGUCAGGCGUGAAAGCCUUGAGCUCAACUCAAGAAAUGCGCUUGAUACUGGGCAGCUAGAGGACCGGAGAGGAUAGUGGAAUUCCCAGUGUAGUGGUGAAAUACGUAGAGAUUGGGAAGAACACCAGUGGCGAAGGCGGCUAUCUGGACGGUUUCUGACACUAAGACACGAAAGCGUGGGAGCAAACA